AUCACGCGGGCAACCUGGGCUCUGCCACCCGAAUGGCCAGCAAGGGGCUAGGCGGGGAGAGCCGGACCUGUGAGUGAGUGAGUCAGCCCCCCGGGCGUGGGCCUUGACCGGUGAGAAGCAGGAGGAGAGAGCCGAGCGGACACGUGCCACCACCCCCCCCCCCCCCCCGCUCGCACCUGCGGACCCCUGCAACACAGCCCCAGAGGACCAGAGCUCAAGCAAGGUGCCCUCUUAAACGCUCCACGAGGCACUAGCCUCACUAAGCAAGGGCACUUGACAAAAACCGCAAAGAGGACCCAGGCUGCGACGGGGACUCUGGUUAAAACUGAAAGGACAUCCUUGGUGUAGACGUCCAUGCUGGCCUGUCCUUCUUCCCGCCAGGAAAUGGUCGCUUCAAAGUUCUCGUGUGCUGACCACCGUCCGGACCUCCCGCGGGUCUGUUUCUACAGCCUGUUGUUCCCGUAGAGCGUUCACGCUGCCUUGUCUCCCUACGUGCCCGGUGAUCUGUUCUCGUGUAGAAACCCCGGAUUUGUGACACAGAAGCUUGGGAUGACGCUACCCCUGUCCAGAGAGGACUCACAUUCCUGGCUGCCGCGUCUCUGGGGCACGAGUCACCUCGACGGCGUCACUGCAAUUUCAGAGGUCAAGGUCACGUGAAGCUUAAGCACAGUAUCCACGAGGGUCUGUCUGCUUCUGGUUCACGCUCACUAACAAGGUGCAGCCGCUGCAGUCCUAACUCAAACAAGGCAGGACAGGUUCCCUGGGUGCGUCCCUGGGUUCGUUCCCUGUGGCCGCUGUCACAACUCGCUACCAACUUGGUGGCUGACAAAAACACAGAUUUAUUUUCAGACAGUCCUGGAGGCCAGAAGUCUGAAGCUGGUUUUACUGGGAUAAAAUCCCAGCAGGGCUGCUCUCCUCUAGAGGCGCUAGGGGAGAACCCGUUUCCCGGCCUUUUCCAGCUUCUAGAAGCGGCCGCGUUCCUUGGCUUGCGGCUCCUUCCGUCUCCAAAUCCGGGAGCCCGGCAUCGUACAUCGGUGGUCACACGGCCUUCAUCUUCUGUGUCAAAUCUCCCUCCGCUCCCUCUGUGCUUACAUUUAGGGCCAACUAGAUAAUCCGGGAUAAUCUUCCCAUCUUAAGAUCCUUAAUCGUAUCUGCCAAAUCCCCUUGCGAGGAAGGAUAACACAGGAUUAGCACCCGAUACCCUUAGGGCCAUGGUUCUGCUGACCAGAGCCUUGGACCCCGGUUCUUGUCCCCUGGCCAUAUGAACCCGUCAAGGCACUGCUCGGCAUCUCAGAAAGCACGCUCCAAGAUAACCGUGGCCCCAAGGGCUGCGUUCUGGUGCCCGAGCCUCUCUCUGCCCCCCGCCCUGCCCCAAGAUCUUGCCCAGGAUCCCCCGAUGGUCUCGUUACUUCUCGAAAGCCUACAAGCAUCAUCAUUACUAUUGCAUUUCCCCGUGGUGCUUGUGGGAAGGUUAGUUCCACAGCCUGGGGAACAGAGGCUCAUCGUGCUCUCUCUGUGAUGGACAGACAGUGGGCAGGAGUCAGGCCCCAAGUCGGAUCCUCCCGAGGGCCGGGGGUCAGGUUCUCUAAGUGCCAAUGUCGAGAGCAGACUCCCGUAGGUCCCCUGACCUUUAAGAUUAUCGACUCCAGGAGCGCCCGGGUGGCCCUACUCUGUGCCCAGAGCACGCACAGUGAGGCCUGAGUGCGGUGGCCCAGAGAGUGGGGAAGCCAGGCUGCCUCGCUUCAGAUCCUGCCCUCCCUGCUUGGGUUCUUCCCCUUUUAAAAUGCUUUGGCUGGUCCAGGUGAGUCAGAAGUGGAUCCUAGAACUUGGAAACAAGACCAAUUCCAUCCACCUCUGAGACAGAACUGUUUCUUCCACAAGUUUCCAGAGGGCUGCUCACACAAACCCCCUCUGUCCCCAAGUAAGGAGGAGACCUGCCCCGGGACAGAGACAAGGUGGGGCCGCCUUGGGUGGCCUGGGAGUCCCGGAAGCCUCCGCACUCAAUCCAGGGGCCCCGGCGUGGCUGUAGCCUAACCAAGGACCAUCUCUACUCACUUCCGGAAGGAGCAGAUGGGGAACCAAAUGAAAGACAGACGGCGUUAAUCCAGCCACACGGCUGCCAGGACGAGGGGGACCUGCUUUUAGAAAGAAUCCCCGGGGAGAGGAGGAUUUGGGCCCGAGCCUGACAGAAAGAGCUGCUGGGAAUGGCUAAGUGCGUACGCUCUCAUUCUGGCACUUUGCCGCGAGAAAGAGGGAAUCGGCCAAUAACGGAUCAAUCACUGCAGCUUAACAUCUUUUGAUGAACGAGCUCACCUAAUACCAAGACCUGGUUUCAAAACACCGUCCUCUAAAAGGAAUGAAGCUGCUAG